CGGGGCGUAGCGCAGCCUGGUUAGCGCGCCUGCUUUGGGAGCAGGAGGCCGCGGGUUCGAAUCCCGCCGCCCCGACCA
rnacentral:tRNA from 1 species